rnacentral:rRNA from 1 species
GACGAACGCUGGCGGCGUGCUUAACACAUGCAAGUCGAACGGAAAGGCCCUGCUUUUGUGGGGUGCUCGAGUGGCGAACGGGUGAGUAACACGUGAGUAACCUGCCCUUGACUUUGGGAUAACUUCAGGAAACUGGGGCUAAUACCGGAUAGGAGCUCCUGCUGCAUGGUGGGGGUUGGAAAGUUUCGGCGGUUGGGGAUGGACUCGCGGCUUAUCAGCUUGUUGGUGGGGUAGUGGCUUACCAAGGCUUUGACGGGUAACCGGCCUGAGAGGGUGACCGGCCACAUUGGGACUGAGAUACGGCCCAGACUCCUACGGGAGGCAGCAGUGGGGAAUAUUGCACAAUGGGCGGAAGCCUGAUGCAGCAACGCCGCGUGCGGGAUGACGGCCUUCGGGUUGUAAACCGCUUUCGCCUGUGACGAAGCGUGAGUGACGGUAAUGGGUAAAGAAGCACCGGCCAACUACGUG